CCAUGUUUAUCAUUUUAACAAUCAUUCUUUGUUUGGGAGGGGAACAACCUGGAAACCACCUGCAGAGGAGACUCUUAACACUCCAAAACCUGGUAACAUUAUUUGGCUUAGCCAGCCAGGAGACCAGGUUUUCUAAGGGAAAAUCCAGGGAUAAGUGAGGAAAGGGUUCCUGUUUCAAGUGCAAGAAGACUGGACACUGGGCACAAGACUGCACCAAGCCUCUGCCUGGGUCCUGCUCUGAAUGUGAGGCAGGCUCAGAAGUUAGGCACUCUUGUGAACAAGUAAUCUCCCAAACCUAUGCAAGCAGGCAGGACAUCAGUGACCUGACCCUCCAAGACUCUGAGGAUGUAUGGUUCACUGAUGUUUUUUUCUUUCUUUAACCCAGCCAGUGAGCCACAACACCCUAAGGUAGGUGGAGAGCACAUAAUCCCCAGUAGGUAGGGUUUACAGCCCCUUAGCCCUCCAAUCUCUCAGCAACCCAUAAAGAAUUAUGGGGAUCUGUGUCUCUCUGGGGAAAAUGAGAUAGCAAGAUAGGGAAUGGCUUAAACUGGUUGGGAAGGAAGGUGUGACCAGAUCCCAGUACACAUGUGCCAAAUAAUUCUCAGGAUUCCAUAUAUGGACCUGCAAUGUUUGGAAUGAAUAAAAAGACAAGACCUCAUUAAGCACUCACUGUUGUGCAUUUUGAUUUUAGUUUUCCUUUCUUCUAUUUAGCCCAAGUUUGCUCUGAAGAGCCAAUUUGUUCGUUACCCUUUAUUUUUAAUUUUUCCUACCUCAAAUAAAUGUAAAACUUUGCUACUGUUUUUGCUUGUUUCAUUCAUUUCUGUACUUGAGAGAGGAAGAACCUGGAAGUCACCUUUAGAAGAAAACUCCAGUACUCCAAAACCCGAUAACAUACCUAAAGAAAAUGUGGUGCUCUCCAAACUUUCACAAACUGAACACAUGAGGUAAUUAAUACCUAUAUGAAGAAACAAAAUACUUUGUUUUAGUUAAA